GAUGAAGAACGUAGCGAAAUGCGAUACUUGGUGUGAAUUGCAGAAUCCCGUGAACCAUCGAGUCUUUGAACGCAAGUUGCGCCCGAAGCCACUAGGCCGAGGGCACGCCUGCCUGGGCGUCACACGCCGUUGCCCCCCCAUCUACUCCUUCGGGAUUGCGGGGGGGUGGAUGAUGGCCUCCCGUGCGCCUAGCCGCGCGGUUGGCAUAAAUACCAAGUCCUCGGCGACGCACGCCACGACAAUCGGUGGUUGCGAAACCUCGGUUGCCCGUCGUGUGCGUUCGUCGCGCAUCGAGGGCUCGAAAAAAUGCUCGGCUCCGGCUGGGCUUUCAACGCGACCCCAGGUCAGGCGGGGUUACCCGCUGAAUUUAAGCAUAUCAAUAAGCGGAGGA
rnacentral:misc_RNA from 1 species